GGCCGCGCGGCCCGGGCGCAGCCCCCCACCCCCGGGCGUCAGCACGGUUUCCGAGGCCGCGGCCUCCUGUGGGCAAGUUAGGGGCUGAGAGGCCUAGAAGACCUGCCACCAGGACGGAAGCGGCAGACGGUGGGCAGGAGGGAAGGUCAUUCCAGCCUCCAGAAACCUUCGUCAAAGUCUGUCUUGUGAAGGACACAAAUACCAGAAGUCUGAGAAACAGGAAUCUGGAAGGAAGGAAAACAAUCCGAGAAGCAGAACAAAAGCAUGAGAUCACUCAUGAAUGGUGCUACCAUAUCCUUUGGACAGCUCACUUCCUGGAUGCUCUGAAUGCUCCAGUCUCUUUGAUGUUUUCUUACCAGCUGCUACUCCACUUAGCCAUUAAACAGUGUUGACCCUGAUGACAUGGAUAUGGAUGAUGUUGGCACCGUUGGCCACUUGCUUCAGUGAACUGAGUAGGGUGUUCAAGAAGAAACCCUUGCCUUAGGAAGACUUCUAAGAUUACAGUGAUCACCACCACACUUUUGUGUAAUUACCCCACCCCUUGAGCAUUGCUGAUUUGCCUCUAAUAGAAUAAAGGAAUAAUAAUGGGAUGUCAUUUCCAUCAUUAGUUUAGAAAAUAUUGUAAGUUCUGUCUUGUUUGCAAACUCUCUCCCAGCUUUGAUGAAGUAAGUUGUCAUGUUGGAGAAACUCACAUGACAAGGAGCUAGCCAACUCUACCAAGGGCCAACAAGGUAUUGAGGACUGCCGGUUCAACACGCUUUGAGGAACUGCAUCCUGCCAACAACUGUGUGAGUACAGAAGUGGGUCCUUCCCUUGUCACGCCUUCCAAUGAGCACAUAGCCUCAGCU
ensembl:lncRNA